UUGUUUUAGUCUCCUGGGGAAUCCAUCGGCUCAACCGAUGGGCGUUCAGGAGAUACUGGCAACCUAGGGACCGGGAGAGGUGAGAGGUACUCCAGGGGUAGGAGUGAAAUCCUGUAAUCCUUGGGGGACCACCUGUGGCGAAGGCGUCUCACUAGAACGGCUCCGACAGUGAGGGACGAAAGCUGGGGGAGCAAACCGGAUUAGAUACCCGGGUAGUCCCAGCUGUAAACGAUGCGCGUUAGGUGUAUCGGUGACCACGAGUCACCGAGGUGCCGAAGAGAAAUCGUGAAACGUGCCGCCUGGGAAGUACGGUCGCAAGGCUGAAACUUAAAGGAAUUGGCGGGGGAGCACCACAACAGGUGGAGCCUGCGGUUUAAUCGGACUCAACGCCGGGAAGCUCACCGGAUAAUACAGCUGAAUGAUAGCCGGGUUGAAGACUCUGCUUGACUAGCUGAGAGGAGGUGCAUGGCCGUCGUCAGUUCGUACUGUGAAGCAUCCUGUUAAGUCAGGCAACGAGCGAGACCCACGCCAACAGUUGCCAGCAUGUCCUCCGGGAUGGUGGGGACACUGUUGGGACCGCCUCUGCUAAAGAGGAGGAAGGAAUGGGCAACGGUAGGUCAGCAUGCCCCGAAUUAUCCGGGCUACACGCGGGCUACAAUGGUCAGGACAAUGGGUAUCAACACCGAAGGGUGAAGGCAAUCUCCUAAACCUGUCCUUAGUUCGGAAUGUGGGCUGCAACUCGCCCACAUGAAGCUGGAAUCUGUAGUAUUCGCGUCUCAAAAUGGCGCGAUGAAUAUGUCCCUGCUCCUUGC
rnacentral:rRNA from 1 species